CCGGUGAGCGGAAAAGGGUGGGAGACGCUGGCGGCAGGCUUACACAUGCAGUCGUCGCGGGGGCAAGGUAGCUUGCUACUGGACCUCGCGGCGGACGGGUGAGUAAUGCUUAGGAAUCUGCCUAUUAGUGGGGGACAACAUCUCCAAAGGGAUGCUAAUACCGCAUACGUCCUACGGGAGAAAGCAGGGGAUCUUCGGACCUUGCGCUAAUAGAUGAGCCUAAGUCGGAUUAGCUAGUUGGUGGGGUAAAGGCCUACCAAGGCGACGAUCUGUAGCGGGUCUGAGAGGAUGAUCCGCCACACUGGGACUGAGACACGGCCCAGACUCCUACGGGAGGCAGCAGUGGGGAAUAUUGGACAAUGGGGGGAACCCUGAUCCAUCCAUGCCGCGUGUGUGAAGAAGGCCUCAUGGUUGUAAAGCACUUUCACCGAGGAGGAGGCUACUUUAGUUAAUACCUAGAGAUAGUGGGACGUUACUCGCAAAAUAAGCACCGGGCUAACUCUGUGCCAGCCGCCGCGGUAAAA
rnacentral:rRNA from 1 species